UUGCUUUUAUUAAAAAUAUUACUCAGAUAAAAACACGUUUAAUUAAGAAUUUGUAAAUGUUGGCCACCGACGAGCGCGGACCAGAGGACGUUUUGACGGUCCCCCGGCGGUCAAUGAAGACGGACUCGCCGAAGCAACGAUGGUUAAAUAAACAAAGGGUUGGGAGGUCGGGCCUGUGAGACCCUAACUCUUUAAUGAUCCUUCCGCAGGUUCACCUACGGAAA
rnacentral:misc_RNA from 1 species